rnacentral:rRNA from 1 species
AGAGUUUGAUCAUGGCUCAGAUUGAACGCUGGCGGCAGGCCUAACACAUGCAAGUCGAACGGUAACAGGAAGAAGCUUGCUUCUUUGCUGACGAGUGGCGGACGGGUGAGUAAUGUCUGGGAAACUGCCUGAUGGAGGGGGAUAACUACUGGAAACGGUAGCUAAUACCGCAUAACGUCGCAAGACCAAAGAGGGGGACCUUCGGGCCUCUUGCCAUCGGAUGUGCCCAGAUGGGAUUAGCUAGUAGGUGGGGUAACGGCUCACCUAGGCGACGAUCCCUAGCUGGUCUGAGAGGAUGACCAGCCACACUGGAACUGAGACACGGUCCAGACUCCUACGGGAGGCAGCAGUGGGGAAUAUUGCACAAUGGGCGCAAGCCUGAUGCAGCCAUGCCGCGUGUAUGAAGAAGGCCUUCGGGUUGUAAAGUACUUUCAGCGGGGAGGAAGGGAGUAAAGUUAAUACCUUUGCUCAUUGACGUUACCCGCAGAAGAAGCACCGGCUAACUCCGUGCCAGCAGCCGCGGUAAUACGGAGGGUGCAAGCGUUAAUCGGAAUUACUGGGCGUAAAGCGCACGCAGGCGGUUUGUUAAGUCAGAUGUGAAAUCCCCGGGCUCAACCUGGGUACUGCAUCUGAUACUGGCAAGCUUGAGUCUCGUAGAGGGGGGUAGAAUUCCAGGUGUAGCGGUGAAAUGCGUAGAGAUCUGGAGGAAUACCGGUGGCGAAGGCGGCCCCCUGGACGAAGACUGACGCUCAGGUGCGAAAGCGUGGGGAGCAAACAGGAUUAGAUACCCUGGUAGUCCACGCCGUAAACGAUGUUGACUUGGAGGUUGUGCCCUUGAGGCGUGGCUUCCGGAGCUAACGCGUUAAGUCGACCGCCUGGGGAGUACGGCCGCAAGGUUAAAACUCAAAUGAAUUGACGGGGGCCCGCACAAGCGGUGGAGCAUGUGGUUUAAUUCGAUGCAACGCGAAGAACCUUACCUGGUCUUGACAUCCACGGAAGUUUUCAGAGAUGAGAAUGUGCCUUCGGGAACCGUGAGACAGGUGCUGCAUGGCUGUCGUCAGCUCGUGUUGUGAAAUGUUGGGUUAAGUCCCGCAACGAGCGCAACCCUUAUCCUUUGUUGCCAGCGGUCCGGCCGGGAACUCAAAGGAGACUGCCAGUGAUAAACUGGAGGAAGGUGGGGAUGACGUCAAGUCAUCAUGGCCCUUACGACCAGGGCUACACACGUGCUACAAUGGCGCAUACAAAGAGAAGCGACCUCGCGAGAGCAAGCGGACCUCAUAAAGUGCGUCGUAGUCCGGAUUGGAGUCUGCAACUCGACUCCAUGAAGUCGGAAUCGCUAGUAAUCGUGGAUCAGAAUGCCACGGUGAAUACGUUCCCGGGCCUUGUACACACCGCCCGUCACACCAUGGGAGUGGGUUGCAAAAGAAGUAGGUAGCUUAACCUUCGGGAGGGCGCUUACCACUUUGUGAUUCAUGACUGGGGUGAAGUCGUAACAAGGUAACCGUAGGGGAACCUGCGGUUG